GGAAUAUACUUGCAAGGAGAAAAGGGACCAUAUUUCCACGUCCAAACAGACUAAGGUUUAAAGAUUGCAGUAAUUUUCACUUUUGAGUAAAAACACAUUAAGUAACAUACUUUGCCCAUGAUGUUCGGCUGGCGACUU